UACAGAGGUCUCAAGCGUUGUUCGGAUUCAUUGGGCGUAAAGGGUGUGUAGGUGGCGCGCUAAGUCGGGUGUGAAAUUUCGGAGCUUAACUCCGAAACUGCAUUCGAUACUGGCGUGCUUGAGGACUGGAGAGGAGACUGGAAUUCAUGGUGUAGCAGUGAAAUGCGUAGAGAUCAUGAGGAAGACCAGUGGCGAAGGCGGGUCUCUGGACAGUUCUUGACACUGAGACACGAAGGCCAGGGGAGCAAACGGG
rnacentral:rRNA from 1 species